rnacentral:rRNA from 1 species
UGGGGAAUUUUGGACAAUGGGCGAAAGCCUGAUCCAGCAAUGCCGCGUGUGUGAAGAAGGCCUUCGGGUUGUAAAGCACUUUUGUCCGGAAAGAAAUCCUUGGCUCUAAUACAGUCGGGGGAUGACGGUACCGGAAGAAUAAGCACCGGCUAACUACGUGCCAGCAGCCGCGGUAAUACGUAGGGUGCAAGCGUUAAUCGGAAUUACUGGGCGUAAAGCGUGCGCAGGCGGUUUGCUAAGACCGAUGUGAAAUCCCCGGGCUCAACCUGGGAACUGCAUUGGUGACUGGCAGGCUAGAGUAUGGCAGAGGGGGGUAGAAUUCCACGCGUAGCAGUGAAAUGCGUAGAGAUGUGGAGGAAUACCGAUGGCGAAGGCAGCCCCCUGGGCCAAUACUGACGCUCAUGCACGAAAGCGUGGGGAGCAAACAGGAUUAGAUACCCUGGUAGUCCACGCCCUAAACGAUGUCAACUAGUUGUUGGGGAUUCAUUUCCUUAGUAACGUAGCUAACGCGUGAAGUUGACCGCCUGGGGGAGUACGGUCGCAAGAUUAAAACUCAAAGGAAUUGACGGGGUCAUAGCUGUUUCCU